GACGAACGCUGGCGGCGUGCUUAACACAUGCAAGUCGAACGGAAAGGCCCUGCUUUUGUGGGGUGCUCGAGUGGCGAACGGGUGAGUAACACGUGAGUAACCUGCCCUUGACUUUGGGAUAACUUCAGGAAACUGGGGCUAAUACCGGAUAGGAGCUCCUGCUGCAUGGUGGGGGUUGGAAAGAUUCGGCGGUUGGGGAUGGACUCGAGGCUUAUCAGCUGGUUGGUGGGGUAGUGGCUUACCAAGGCUUUGACGGGUAGCCGGCCUGAGAGGGUGACCGGCCACAUGGGGACUGCGAUACGGCCCAGACGCCUACGGGAGGCAGCAGUGGGGAAUAUUGCACAAUGGGCGGAAGCCUGAUGCAGCAGCGCCGCGUGCGGGAUGAUGGCCUUCGGGUUGUAAACCGCUUUCGCCUGUGACGAAGCGUGAGUGACGGUAAUGGGUAAAGAAGCACCGGCUAACUACGUG
rnacentral:rRNA from 1 species